CAGAAGUCUUGAAGUAAAUGCAUCACCAACAUUGGAGCUGGCAGUCUGCUUCCAUAUGGACUGGACUAUGGAUUUCAGAGGGAAAACAACUGUACUUCUAAGAAGGAGAGAGACUAGACUUUAGAAGAUAUUGAAGUCUGAAGUUAAGAAGUGAAUUCAUGGAAACCAGAUUUAAACAUCCAACACUGGGGGACUGUUCUCCCUAGCAAGGAACAGCAACGCUCUGAUUUCACACACUACACUCACUGUCACGCAGACCUGGAAAGACAUCUCUGAAUCUCUGGUUCACCAGAUGCUACAGAGGUACUUCUGUACCAUAAAGGUAACAAGCACAGUUUUGCCAGUGAAGAAAGAGAUCUGCAUAAGGCCUUGCUGUCUGCU